rnacentral:rRNA from 1 species
ACCUAAUAGAUACCCUGGUAGUCCACGCCCUAAACGAUGCGAACUGGAUGUUGGGUACAAUUACGGUACUCAGUGUCGAAAGCUAAACGCGUUAAGUUCGCCGCCUGGGGAGUACGGUCGCAAGACUGAAACUCAAAGGAAUUGACGGGGGCCCGCACAAGCGGUGGAGUAUGUGGUUUAAUUACGAUGCAACGCGAAGAACCUUACCUGGCCUUGACAUCUGUCGAAUCCUGCAGAGAUGCGGGAGUGCCGCAAGGAACGACAAGACAGGUGCUGCAUGGCUGUCGUUAGCUCGUGUCGUGAGAUGUUGGGUUAAGUCCCGCAACGAGCGCAACCCUUGUCCCUAGUUGCCAGCACAUCAUGGUGGGUAACUCUAGGGAGACUGCCGGU